CAUAUCAAAUGAGACUUCAUUACCACCAAAAUGUUAGAGUACCUGACUUAUCUACCACCUCGUUUUCACUCCUUUUAAUAACACAUGGAAAAUUAUGGAAGCGACUACAUGCAGACACAAAAUUAAAGUGCAGGAGAGUGUACAAGAGCGAUUUAGAUCCAAGUGUGACGUCGGUCAGAGUGGAGAACGUGAUUAGAUACGCUGGCACUUCACGAGUUUCUCCAUCAGGAACAUGAAAAUACUCGAGACCAUUCCUGUAAAGAGAAUAAAUAAAUACAGAAUAAAAGACCCGUUGGCGAAGAUGCGGCCCCACUCGCCAUCCACCGACUUGACGACGGAAAACCUGUUAGGAAGACUCUUUUGAGAUUCACAAGUAUUUGCCGCAAGUGUUUUCCAAGCAGUGAAGCCCCGGCCUUCGGUUGACAGUGCUCCCUCCUCCUCACCAUACCACCAAGAAAACGAAAAACUCACGUGAAGUUGAGUUUCUCCUUUAGGGUGUCCAUGAAAUCCAUCAGAAGGCCGGACGUGGCGAAAGAGCCAUCUUGGUGGUCCUGGAAGGUGACGAAGGGAACCCACUCGGCGGCGGCCACGAGG